UCCAUCUAAAGCUAAAUACUGGUGAGAGACCGAUAGCGAACAAGUACUGUGAAGGAAAGGUGAAAAGAACUUUGAAAAGAGAGUGAAAUAGUAUGUGAAAUUGUUGAUAGGGAAGGAAAUGAGCGGAGAGUGGUUGAGGUUUCAGCUGUCCUUUGGGACGGUGUAUUGCCAAUGCCGAGUCAUUGUCCGCGAGACGGGGGUUAUAAACGGGUUGCAUUCUUGCUUCUCACCUAACCCCCCUACUGCAGUCAACGACAUAAUCCGCCCAUUUCACCCGUCUUGAAACACGGACCAAGGAGUCUAAUGGAUAUGUGAGUGUUAGGGUGCCAAACCCCAGCGCGCAAUGAAAGUGAAUGAUUCGUUCAGAAUCGACCGAACUUGAUUUUUAUGACAGUUCUGAGUAAACACAUCCAUUGGGACCCGAAAGAUGGUGAACUAUGCCUGAAUAGGGUGAAGUCAGAGGAAACUCUGAUGGAGGCUCGUAGCGGUUCUGACGUGCAAAUCGAUCGUAGAAUUUGGGUAUAGGGGCGAAAGACUAAUCGAACCAUCUAGUAGCUGGUUCCUGC
rnacentral:rRNA from 1 species